rnacentral:rRNA from 1 species
CGUAACCGGGCUGAAGUCGUACCGUAAGGAGCGGUGGACUGGUUACGAGUGAGAAUGUUGGCAUCAGUAGCGAGAUGUGGGUGAGAAUCCCACAGGCCGAAAACCUAAGGUUUCCUCAGGAAGGUUCGUCCGCUGAGGGUUAGUCGGGACCUAAGCCGAGGCCGAAAGGCGUAGGUGAUGGACAACUGGUUGAUAUUCCAGUACCACUACCAUCGUUAUUAUCGAUGGCGUGACGCAGGAGGAUAGUGUGUGCUAGCUAUUGGAUGCUAGUCUAAGCGUUUAGGCAGUGAGAGUAGGCAAAUCCGCUCUCAUAAUGCUGAGGCGUGAUG